GACGAACGCCGGCGGCGUGCUUAACACAUGCAAGUCGAACGGAAAGGCCCUGCUUUUGUGGGGUGCUCGAGUGGCGAACGGGUGAGUAACACGUGAGUAACCUGCCCUUGACUUUGGGAUAACUUCAGGAAACUGGGGCUAAUACCGUAUAGGAGCUCCUGCUGCAUGGUGGGGGUUGGAAAGUUUCGGCGGUUGGGGAUGGACGCGCGGCUUAUCAGCUUGUUGGUGGGGUAGUGGCUUACCAAGGCUUGGACGGGUAGCCGGCCUGAGAGGGUGACCGGCCACAUUGGGCCUGAGAUACGGCCCAGACUCGUACGGGAGGCAGUAGUGGGGAAUAUUGCACAAUGGGAGGAAGCCUGAUGCAGCAACGCCGCGUGCGGGAUGACGGCCUUCGGGUUGUAAACCGCUUUCGCCUGUGACGAAGCGUGAGUGACGGUAAUGGGUAAAGAAGCACCGGCUAACUACGUC
rnacentral:rRNA from 1 species